ACGAGAGUAGUCAUGACUAGAAGUAGGUGAGCUGACCUUCGGGGGGCAGCCUACCAAGGUUUUGGUUGCGAUUGGGGUGAAGUCGUAACAAGGUAGCCGUAGGGGAACCUGCGGCUGGAUCACCUCCUUU
rnacentral:ncRNA from 1 species